rnacentral:tRNA from 1 species
GGGGAUGUAGCUCAGGGGCACAGUAGGUGCUUCACAUGUACAAGGUCCUGGGUUCAAUCCCCAGCAUCUCCA